UCUGGUUGAUCCUGCCUGAACUGAUGUGUUCAUUUCAAAGAUUAAGCCAUGCAUGUAUAAGUUUAAUCGUUUUAACGAGAAACCGCGAACGGCUCAUUACAAUGGCCAUGAUUUACUUGAUCUUGAUUAUCUAAAUGGAUAACUGUGGAAAAGCUAGAGCUAAUACAUGCACCAAAGCUUUGUCCUCUCGGAAAAGCGCAUUUAUUAGAACAAAACCACGCGGCUUCGGCUGCUUCUUGUUGACUCAGAAUAACUAAGCUGACCGCAUGGCCUUGUGCCGGCGGCGUGUCUUUCAAGCGUCCACUUUAUCAACUUGACGGGAGCAUAAUCGACUCCCGUGGUGGUGACGGAUAACGGAGGAUCAGGGUUCGACUCCGGAGAAGGGGCCUGAGAAAUGGCCACUACGUCUAAGGAUGGCAGCAGGCGCGCAAAUUACCCACUCUCGGCUCGAGGAGGUAGUGACGAGAAAUAACGAGAUCGUUCUCUUUGAGGCCGGUCAUCGGAAUGAGUACAAUUUAAACCCUUUAACGAGUAUCAAGCAGAGGGCAAGUCUGGUGCCAGCAGCCGCGGUAAUUCCAGCUCUGCUAAUACAUAGAAUUAUUGCUGCGGUUAAAAAGCUCGUAGUUGGAUUCGUAUCGGUACCCUGGAACCCUCCGGGUGUUUCUGGGUGUUAUCGAUUUAUCGUAAUGUUCGGUUUUGAGUCCUUAACAGGAUUCUUAACAGGCAUUGCAAGUUUACUUUGAACAAAUCAGAGUGCUUCAAACAGGCGUUUUCGCUUGAAUGAUCGUGCAUGGAAUAAUAGAAAACGAUUUCGGUUCAGUUUUAUUGGUUUUACGGACUGAGAUAAUGGUUAACAGAGACAAACGGGGGCAUUUGUAUGGCCCCGUGAGAGGUGAAAUUCUUGGACCGUGGCCAGACAAACUACAGCGAAAGCAUUUGCCAAGAAUGUCUUCAUUAAUCAAGAACGAAAGUCAGAGGUUCGAAGGCGAUCAGAUACCGCCCUAGUUCUGACCGUAAACGAUGCCAACUAGCGAUCCGCCGAUGGAAAUUAUAUUGCCUUGGUGGGGAGCUUCCCGGAAACGAAAGUCUUCCGGUUCCGGGGGAAGUAUGGUUGCAAAGCUGAAACUUAAAGGAAUUGACGGAAGGGCA
rnacentral:rRNA from 1 species